CCGAUCUUUAGCAUUUAACGCAAUAAGUAAAAAGGAAAUGAUUUUGCUUGAGUUGAAGUUUUUCUUUCUUGAUGUUCGUAGAACCUUCCCAAAUUAACAUCUACACUUUGGUAAAGGAGUCUUUUACCAUUUUCAGAGAGAUUCUCUCAAGCAAGGGGGGGAAGGGGCAUAAAGGAUCCCACCACAAGUUCCCAGGAGGCGACAAUAUUUUUCUGAGGAGUCCUUUCAAUGUAAAAAUAAAACUCUGAGAUUGGUAAGGGGGAAUGAACGUGGGAUUUUCUAUAACUAGAAGCCAAAGUACCUUUUCUGUAUCUCCCAAGCUUAUCCUCCUUCAACUCUUAAUCUGUGGAUUGUGACCUCCAGCUGCCAUAUAUGUUUUUAAGCCUGAAAUAUCAUUAGUGUAUAUUAAUUGGAGAUAUUUUUUCAGAUCAAUAUUGAUAUCGAGGUCUGCUGCUGAUGAUCAAGUAAAGGAAGGCAGCAGGACAAAGGUUCUUCAAACUUUUGUAUAAGGCUUCUGCUGUAUUGUUUUGCCAUCAUUUCGCAUUAUUAUCUUAAUUGGAUUGUUUACUUAGAUAUUUUGUUGCUUCUUCACAGCACAGUCAUUAUUUUGCUUAUUAGAACAGGUUUCUUGAAAUAGUUGUUGGCUUUUUGCUUAUUUUAAGUGUUUUUUUUUUCUUCUUAAUUUUUUCAUUUUCUUAUCACCUUUAGGCUAAUUUCUUAAUGUUGGUUUUUCCUCAUUUGGUUUGAUAAAGUUUUUAUAUUGUUCAUUAGAAAACAAAGGCCUGCUGAUUAUAGUGAAUCUUUAAUGAUAGCUUGAACCAGAAAAUCAUACAGACACCUCUGCAUGAAAGUGACAGUCAAGUAACAUCAGCAUGUUUCUGGGGGUAAGGUAAAAAUCUGCAUGUUCUUGCAGGACUGGAAUUUCCAUCACUAUCACCACAAAGUUUAUCCGAAAGAAAAAUUGCCCACCGUUAUACAUAAGAGAGAGAGAACAAUAAUGCAAUUGAUCUCAUCAGAAAAUGAGGGCUUUUUCUUGGAUUGAUGGGAAUCCCAUUCCUGCAAGAACCUGCAGUUUUACCUUGCCCCAAGAAACGGGCUGCUUUGUAAUUCUUAUUCUAUAUAUAUAUAUAUAUAUGGAAUAAUUCAUUAUUAUUGUUCA